GGGGAGGAAGCGGGGGUGAGGGCUGGCGGAGUUCUCCCUCUCCCCACAGGCAGCCCCAGGCGAGCAGCAGACGGGGGAUACGACCCCAAACCGAGGAGGACGGCAGGCUGACCCAGUGGGCAGUGGAACCAGGACGUUGGAGCGGGCCCAGCGGGACGGAGUGAGGCCGGCCAGACUGGACGCCCUAGGGCCGGGAAGGGCCAAGCUCGGGUGAGGGCGUUCCGAGCCCGACGGCCGGGAUACUAGGGCGGGGCACAGGGGGCCCCUGAGACUCAAGGACCAGAGGAGGGAGCUACCCUCCCCCAGCGGAGGAGACUGGGGCGGGCAAGAGAAAGCUUGCUUCACCAGUGAAUAGCUACAACUUUCUCUGCUUCAAUGAAAAGGGACAGCUCUGACCUCCAUUUUGCAAUAGAUGAAGAGAUUGCUGGUCCUGGCCUGAGACCGGAUGUCACAAAACAGCUGAGGAGUUGAAGACCUUAUAUAAAAUUUUAAAGGCCCUUCUAAAAAUGAGUCAAGAUGUGGCCAACAAGAUAUUUGGUGUUCAAAGUUUGUUGUUUCUUUGGGAAAAAUGUCUGAUCCAUAGUUAUAUAAUUAGCCUGUCAGAAUCCCCCAGAAGGAGCCAGAAGGAAGCUGAUUUGGGCCUGAGUGACCAACUGAUUCCUUGAGGGACUCAAGAUCAGCAUCUUCUCUUCGUACCCUUUACCCCUGAUUCCUGGAAUAGGUCUGUUCCUCCUCAUUUCUUGGCUGGCUGAGACUAGAAACAGAACAACAUGAAGUUUCCUUCUCCCAUCCAGCACAGGUGCCCUUUCCUUUAGGACUAAGGGAGAAACAGAAGAUGCACGACUCCCUGUCCCUUUCCAGGGAUGAGUCAAAGAUAUCAGCAACUCUGGCAGCUACUACAUUAGAUGGAAGGGAAACAGAAACCCUGGUGAUAAGUUACAGACUGAUACAGCUACCCCUCUGAGACAAUUUAAAGAGAAUUAACCACCAUCCGCAAAUCUAUUUUUUCCUUUUUAGUCCUAAUUUUUAAAGGAUGUGUCCACUUAAAAAGUCACAUUUUUGUCUACAUAGAUUUUUACCUGCUCUUGUAGCAAAUACCCCAUAAAACAACGUAUUCUUCUGAAUGUUAAAUGACUACCCCACAAUUACAGUAUGUGCCCAAGAUCAGCAACUUAAGGAUAAAAACAUUAUAGGGAUGUUGUAAUGAUUCCCAAACCAAAUAUUAUUGAGAUUCAGAGUAAAGGUUCUAAUUAAAUGAAAUGCAAGUAUUUUAAAGGUACAUAUAUACACGAUACCCAUUAAUUAUUAUUCAUCUCUACAAGCUAAUAAGUUUUUUUCUUCUGGUUUCCUGAAGAAGAACAUAUACCCUGUCUCUGACUGCCCUUUUUAUGUUAAAUAUACAAAAGGGCCUUUACUUGUCAGAGGAUUAACAUGUGGCAGACUCCAUGCCCUGAGUCAUUGACAAAAUCCAUGUUAUUAGGAUCAAAGAAAAAUUAUGACACUUAAUUGGUCACCAUUAAUACUUUGCCUUUAAAUUGAAUUAAAUGCUUAUCUGUGGAGACUUAGUAACAGACAUAAGCAUAAAUUAAGUCAUUGGUUGGAUAGGAAGGAAUAUUUCCCUUAGAAUAUACAGGCUUGUUAGAGGGAGAAUCACUUUCCACUGGGAACUAAACGGGUGUCAUCUGUUCUUGUCAGGUGAAGCUAUCCUCCAAAACCAAUUUCCUGUAAUGGUAGUUCACAGUCAUUUCUAUAUUGUUCCACCCCCCUGUUUCUAUGACUGUUUCUGCUUUCCACAGAGAUAAACCAUAUUUUUGAAUAACAGUUAUCACCAUGCAAGUCUUUGUCAUUAGUGUCAUUGUCACUAUAUGCCAUCUUGAUUUGUGAGAGAGAUGUUAAUAAAUCAGAUGAGUUUAUAGCAAUCUGAAUUUUAGCUCAGUUUAACAAAAGCUUAACGGGUGAACAGUUGAGAAUCUCUGGAGAGACACUGUGUGUUACUUUAUUUGCCAGCACAAAUCUCCAGUCCAUAAGUUAGUCAUUUUAAAAUAUGACUUUAACAUAUUAUUAAUGUUAGUUAUUCUGCUUUCAUGCAUUUAUUUUUCUGCUUUGACAUCCUGCCAUAUACUUCUAGAAGUUUAUUGGCAGUUAAUGAAAUAACUCAGCUAGUGAACAUGAUUUUUUGUUGUUGAGAAAAUCAACAAACUGGGGAGGUACCAGGGAAGUGAGUCAUCUACAAAUAAUCCUCCCCUCUCAAAAUUCACAUUAAUGCUAUAUGCAGAUAUCUAAUAAUCUCAUUGGAAGCAGAGUUAAUUUAAUACCAUAGAGUCAAAAUCUAAUCAGUGUUUUCUCUGCAUUAGUGUAAAGGAAAGGUUCAAAGAACACAGUAGAAUGAGGGUAUUUGAUUUCUAAACCACUAAUUUGGGAAACUGAAAAAAAAAAGCAAUUUAUGAAUAUGGUAUAGUGGGAGGAAGUAUUAAAUUCCAUUACCAUGGACAAAGGCUGAAGCAGUCUAAGGAUUCUGUAAUUAAGACUCAGGAGAGUAUAAUUCUAGUAAAGAAGAAAAAAAUAAGUAACGAGUAGCUUCCUAUGUGUGUCAGAAACUGUUCAAAGAUGUGAGCAAAAAGCAAAUCUAUAUCAGAAGUGGAAAAGGGGCAUAAUCAAGGACUUGUAGGUGAAGUAAGCAUUUACAUAUUUCUUAUCUUUGUCUAAGAAUUUAUGGUAAAUAUGAGCCAUCAGCGAUUGGUAUAUCCAAUAUAUUGAUAUGUGCCAGAGUCGUCCAUACAAAUUGAAAUUAGAGCUGUGGGGCCUAACAUACAGAUAGGUAGCCGAGACUGUCAUUUCUUCUGAAAAAGGCAGAGUGUAUAUUUAUGUAAACUAGAGACCACAUCCUAACAUAGCAGGGAGCCAGCCUUACAGUGUUUGAUUUGCACCCUCAAUAUUUGUUUGUUUUGCUACAAAAGCUGAACAAUCACCAAAAUAAAGCCACUUUGUUUCACCAUUCUUGCUAUCCAUGAACAGCCUUUUAAUUGACUUCUAUAGGGAUACAUCUACUCAGCAACAUUAUUUUGAAAUAAUUAUUGUUAUUUCAAAAUAACUUACGGUAUGUCUACA